rnacentral:lncRNA from 1 species
GAGUCAAGGAGGGGCCUCUCCCCAACACCUUUCUUCCAAACACCGCUUCUUCCCUACCUCCCUCCCUCCCCUGUGCUGCCAGCCCUCGGCCUGCUGCCCUGGGGACAGGAUUGCUCAGCAAGAAGGGCUCGAGCUGGACAGAGCUCCCGGCAGUGGAUUCAAACCUGUGUCAGCUAGCUCUGCCUCCUUGGGUGAGUUCCAGUCCCUCUGAGGCACCCUCUCCUCUUCUGUCAACUGGAGCUAUCCAGGCUGCCACUGCUUUCGCGGUGACGUGAGAUGAUUUGUGGGAAGCACUUAACUUAGUGGCUGACAUAUAGAAGGUGUUUAUCGCGGGAAAUGCGGGUGUGACUGAAUGAAUGGAAGCAGAGAAAUUCAGAGGACUUUCUGAAAUGAAGCUAUUGAAGAUGUACUUUGUUCUAAAAAACAAAAAUGGGGCUGUUGAAAAAUUGUGUGUCGUGGCCGGAGCCAAGAAUGCAAGCCCAGAGACUGGCUUGGAAGAUGACCUCAGCAGAAGUAUAAGGAGACCCUGAAGUGUGGCAGUGGCAGAGGGAACGAAGGAAGAACAUCUGAAUCAUCCCUACCAUUUGGGGGAGUAAAGUCAUUUUUCUUAUUAUAGCAUCUCUCCUCUUAUGAGGCUGGUAAGUCCAUGACCAGGAUGCUGAGAACUUAUUCUCUGGUGCAUAGCUGAUACCGUCUACAUUGUUGCAUCUCCACAUGGGAGAAGGGCUGUGUAGCUUUCUGAGGUGUCUUAUUAGUCACUUUCUCAAUGCUGAGACACAACACCUGGCAUCUCACAUCAACAGAGGACAGGUUUAUUUUGGCUCGAGUUUCAGUCCUUAGUUGGCUGGCCCCAAGGCAGGAGAGCAAGGGCAAAGGAGAGCUGCCCACACCAUGGCUCCAAUGAAAGAGAGAGGGGGGAGUGGGCAGGGAGUGAGAUUAAGCCCUUCCAGACCCCCCACCCACCUCUUUUGACCAGACCCCACCUCCUAACAGAAAGCCAGCUCUAAGCCCUGUGAUCCAAUCACCCUCCAAAAGUCCCAUCCAUGAGCUGUGAAGCUCAUGGGAGACACUGAGACAAUAAACCAUGGCAUGGGGUCCCUUUCAUAAGCACUACAGUCCCAGGCAUGAGGGCUUUGCCUUCAGAACCUACUCCCUGGAGCAGAGCCCACCUCCUAGUAUCACCAAGGAACAGAGGAUUUCAACACACGAGUUGGGGGGAUGCAUCCAGAUGGUGAAGGUGGAGGUUACAGAGCUGAGAAUGUCGGAGGAAAAACAGUUGUGUGUACGUCUAAGGAAAACAGUUGAGGCAGGAGCCCCAGAGACAGUGGAGGCGGAUGCCUCACAAAUAGGCUGGGGACAGCAGCCCAGUCCCCCACUAGUAGCCCAGCCUCCUGCUUCUCGUAUGCAGGUGAGAAGACCCCAACGGAUGAGAGCAGUCUGGGUGGAAACUUUGCCCACCUUGGAAUUCACCAGGAGCAUCCCUGGUUCCCCGCUCGCCUGCCUGAGCCACAGAACUUCCACAAUUCAGAGCAUCUGUGGUUACCUCGGUCAUGCAAGCCAAGAAUCCUCCUGGUUUCUCCGAAGUUUGAGUUCUGGGAAGCAGAACUGAGGAUGGGGGACUGUGCAGCCUUUUAAAACAGCCCCUAAGAAGCAUUGACACAUCAAUCUGUGCCCCCGAUGUCAGCCCUCGGUGUCUCCAGGCUUAAGGAUGAAGCUGCAUACUCACACCUAAGCCUCACAGAGCCAGUGAGAGAAGCAGAAAUAGAAGAACAGCAUCCCUCAGUGUCUCCAAAAGGUGUGAGAAAGAAAGUGGGAAGCUACCCCCAAAAUAAAUAAAAUCAAGACAACUCAGCACAUGGAUCAUCCCCCGGCGGGCCUCCUCAGACUCAGAGUCACCCCACUGACAGAUGAGAAACAGUCUCAGAGGAAACCUGACUCGCUACAAGGCCACUGGCAAGUAUGAGUCCCGACUCGGAAGAGGCCUUCUGCCUUCAGCCACAUCUGGCCCCCAGGCCGCCAGAGGCUGGAAACCCAUCAAACUGCCAGAGACACCAGCGCAGCUGUUGCCCUGGGGUGAGACUCGGAAGCUCUGUCCAGGAAACCAAGGUCACCAGCCAUGGAGGAAACACAAGCCUUCAGGGACCCCGGGGAAGCAGAGAUGCUUGUAAUCUGUCCUCUCAAAAAGAUUCGGGACAUUGGGUUCCCUCAAGGGACUUUUACCAGAGCCGAAGUGGAAGCAGGCACCCGGUGUUCAUGCAUAGGAAUGACUGCCAGGAUGACCUGCAGACAGGGCCAAGGCUUUGUGCAAGAGGGCGUGUGGGCCAGUGAGAGGUCUCUGCCACUGAGAAUGGUCUGACCGACAUGCUGUGCCUUCUUGCUGACUCUGGGUCUGGUCCCGGGGUAGCCUGUCCCAUGCUUCUUGCCUGUGGUCUCACCACCGGACUCUGGAGACAGAUGCUUGGGGCAUAUUUGAUCCCCAAAUGGAUGUGUUCCUGGAUUCCAAAGUCAAAGUUUGCUGUAACUCAGAAGCUGUUUUCUGCUGUGUUUUUUAAACUCAUACUCUGCACCCUUAGACCUUUCUCUGGGAUUUCCUUCUGCCUCGGCCUCAUGGACUGUGCCGUUGAGAGCAAUCAUCUCAUUUCUCUCAAGGCCAAAGGAUCUGACUGUGUCGCUCUGGAAGACACCGGGAUCUGGACUGUGAGCUGCUCCCGCACCUAGGCUGCUGUGCUCUGUCUGUCUCCACUUCCCACCCCAGGGUGAUGCUGAAGCCCACUUUCCUCCCACACAAGGUUCUCCUUUUUAUCUGAUCCACCUCACUGCAGCUCCCACAGCACCACUGAGCCCUUUGGGCAGCUUCUCAGAGCCAGAUCCCAGAGGACAGUGCGGGAGGUGACAGGGUCCAGCCCCAGCAUUGCAGGUUCUCGGUCCUCCUUGGAUCACAAGUGAGGCUACACCCCGGGUGUCCAGGCUGUGGAGGAAACUGAUGAAGGGAAACAAAACUUGGGUCUUAGCCACUUACCACCAUGAUCCAGUCUCAUGUUUUAAAAGUCCAUUUUAAUAUCCUUUCCCCCUUGAUUUUCCA